rnacentral:rRNA from 1 species
GUGUCAGCCGCCGCGGUAAGACGAACCAAGCGAACGUUAUUCGGAAUUACUGGGCUUAAAGCGCGUGUAGGCGGAUGACCACGUCAGUCGUUGAAAUCCCCCGGCUCAACCGGGGAACAGGCGCUGAUACGAGUUGUCUGGAGGUGGGUAGGGGAGACUGGAACUUCCGGUGGAGCGGUGAAAUGCGUUGAGAUCGGAAGGAACGCCCGCGGCGAAAGCGAGUCUCUGGACCCAUUCUGACGCUGAGACGCGAAAGCCAGGGGAGCAAACGGGAUUAGAUACCCCGGUAGUCCUGGCUGUAAACAUUGGGCACUGGGUAGUGGAACCGCCGAUGGUUUCACUGCCGCAGGGAAACCGUGAAGUGCCCCGCCUGGGGAGUAUGGUCGCAAGGCUGAAACUCAAAUGAAUUGGCGG